rnacentral:rRNA from 1 species
AACGUAGGAGACAAACGUUAUCCGGAGUUACUGGGCGUAAAGGGCGUGUAGGCGGUUCGUUAAGUCUGGCGUGAAAGCUCUCGGCUAAACCGGGAGAGGUCGUUGGAUACUGGCAAACUAGAGGACGGUAGAGGCGUGUGGAAUUCCGGGUGUAGUGGUGAAAUGCGUAGAGAUCCGGAGGAACACCAGUGGCGAAGGCGACACGCUGGGCCGUACCUGACGCUAAAGCGCGACAGCGUGGGGAGCAAACAGG